rnacentral:rRNA from 1 species
AUGCUGCCCACCUCCCCGACGGUGGACUCACUCCUCCACGACGAGUGUCUGGACCGAGGGGUCAUCCCCAUCGCUUCGUCCAAGCGUGAGCAGGCCUCCCAGUGCUCGCCGUGCCUAAGGACGGCCACCAACCACCGCGUCCGCAACCUCCUAGAGCAGCCACACAUGUGCCUCCUUGCUGCUCUGUCCCUGGCCACGCACGCCCUAGCCGCAGCGUCCAGGCCGUUCACAGCUGCCACCCUAGUCCGUUCACCAUCGCCAACCGAGUCCGUUCACCACCACCAACUGAGGUCGUUCGACGAUGCAGUGAUGAGGUCGUUCAACGACACAACAGUUAGAUGUUUUCUCUCUAUUUUUCUUCCUCUAUGA